GGAUAUAUAUUGCAAAAACAAAAAACUAAAACCAAAUGAAUUCUUAAUUUAUUCUUGGGGUACCCAAACAUGUUCCCCACCCGCCCUUAUUAAACCGAUCUGUUAAUGAAGCAGCCUCCAAAUCGUUGCACUACAAACAGGUUCUUCCAGUGCUUCAUGCAAAUCCACAUGCCUCUGACUGACCACCGUGCCAUAUACGCACGUCAAAAUCGAAGAAGAAAUGAAGAAGUAACCUCAAGCCGCUCUCAACAGAUGGCUGAAGUUCACCUGUUUUCCUCCUCCAAUGAUAGCAACAAGCAGAUUGCAAAAACGAAGUGAUGUUAAGUACCUGCUCACCAAAAGAAACACGAGCUCGAAAUCCGAAAUGUCACAGUAUCACGUCAAAGCCCAGGCUGUCUGCUACAGGUUGAAAGCAGAAACAGUCCAAUUCGCUGCGCCAAUCAGAAGAUAACGCUGAGCCCGUGAAGACAUGUUCUCACUGCAGGUGCCACCCAAACAAACUUGAUAGCAGCAGCUGCAUCCAACGGCAGAAGCGUACAAAAAUGGUCACAUAUGCAAGAAACAGAUCUGCAGAAACCAAAACANN
rnacentral:lncRNA from 1 species